rnacentral:rRNA from 1 species
AUUGAACGCUGGCGGCAUGCUUUACACAUGCAAGUCGAACGGUAACAGGGUGCUUGCACCGCUGACGAGUGGCGAACGGGUGAGUAAUGCGUCGGAACGUGCCGAGUAGUGGGGGAUAACGCAGCGAAAGUUGUGCUAAUACCGCAUACGUACUGAGGUAGAAAGUGGGGGACCUUCGGGCCUCACGCUAUUCGAGCGGCCGACGUCUGAUUAGCUAGUAGGUGAGGUAAAGGCUCACCUAGGCGACGAUCAGUAGCGGGUCUGAGAGGAUGAUCCGCCACACUGGGACUGAGACACGGCCCAGACUCCUACGGGAGGCAGCAGUGGGGAAUUUUGGACAAUGGGCGAAGGCCUGAUCCAGCCAUGCCGCGUGUCUGAAGAAGGCCUUCGGGUUGUAAAGGACUUUUGUCAGGGAGGAAAUCCCUAGCGUUAAUACCGCUGGGGGAUGACAGUACCUGAAGAAUAAGCACCGGCUAACUACGUGCCAGCCGCCGCUGUAAUAC